rnacentral:misc_RNA from 1 species
UUUGUGCACAACUAGUUUUUAAUUGAUUUUGUUCUAAAUAUUUUAUAUGAUUAAAUGAAGUUAUUUUCCUUAUGUAUUAUGUUUAUCAAGUAUUGAAUUUAUUUCACUGAUUAUUGAAAUUGGUAUCGUAUGCAUGAGUUUAGUUUUGUGAAAUGGUAUUUCCACAAGUAUUAAGCAUUGUUAUGGAUUGAAUAAAUUAUGUUUUGGAAAAUUGUGAUAGAACAUGUUUUGAAUUGUGAUGGGCAAUUUGCAUUGAAAAAUGCAAAUUUAUGAUUUGAAUUGUGAUGAGUAUAAAAAUUAUUGGAUAUUGAAAUUGACUUUGAAUCGAAUUGUAUUGUGAUUUAUGCUCACUAAAAGGAUUGUGAUAUUGUUUUAUAUCUCACUAUAGAUGCUUGACUAGGUUAUUACCCGUCUCUCUCAUUUGUUGAGAAGACAAUGGAGUUAGUUGUGUUUUGAUUACCAUGGUACGUGCACAGGCUUAGAUUUUCCUCUGAUUUGAGGUUAGAUCUAAGUUUAUUUUAUCGUUAUGGCCCUUGCGGAAGAUUCAUUAUUGUGAUGGUACUGUGCACGAUGAUUCGACCUCCCCGACCAUAGGGAGUUAGAAUCACAUCGAAU